UAUAUAUUUAAAAAAAAACUAAAACUUAGACAGUUUAAUGUACGUUUAUCUAAAUCAGUCGUUUUCGGGCUGAUGGGCCUCUGGGGGGGAUUUUAGGAUUUGGUUGAAAUGAUUUCCACAUUGCGUGUGAACGGUUGUUGUGUAGAAAACGCGGACGUGUUUGUGUUCCACGUGCUCACGAAUGGAAGUUAAGGCCUUAACCAGGUAGAAGGGAGGGAAACCUGUUUUUAUUGGCUUUGCAGCAGAGUCUGUUUAAUGCUGCCUCUUCUCCUCUCAACUAUUUAAAAGCUUUCCCUUUCUUUUUUCUUUCUUUUUUUUUGUUUUUCUAGAGGUCUAUUAUUCUGUGGAUAAAACGGAAGGAAGAAGCCCUCCGUUUUGUGCGGAGAUUAUCAGAUGAAAAAGAGAGAAAACGUGAGGAUUACUGUGGAUGGAGAGGAUUUUAAUAUUAAUAGUUUUUUUUCUUUUCUUUUUCCCCUCCCUCACUCCCCGCACUCCCCCUUUCCCUCCCUCCUUCCCUCCCUCCUUCCACUCCCCCCCUCUCUUCCCCGAUGAGACAGAAGGUAGAUUGCCUCUGCUGCUUUCCUUUUGCCGAUUCGGUGUGACAGGGAUGAUGGAUGAUCCAGCCGAGCUAAACAACUCCUCCCCUUCAUCUCCUCCCUGUCAAAGCCAGUCCGGGCUGCUGCUGCAGGAAUAAAAUAAGGAAUAUAUUCCCUCUGCACUGCUGCACAAUGCAGCCCGUUCCUCUGGAAGACACUUUCCUCCCGUGCAACAAUAUUAAAAGUCCACACACACACGCGCGCACAUCCAGCCAGAUCUCCCGCUAGAAACACUCGCGUGUGUGCGUUACAGAGGCGACAUGUUAAUAAUGCUUAUGUUAUUGUUUUUCUUUUUUCCUCUCCCUCUCUUCUGCGGAGCAUCUGUUAAAGUGGGGUUUAUGAUCUAAGAGAGGGGACUGCAAAUAUAUAUUUUUAGAGCGCAUCUGCGAGGGAGCAGCGAGAGGAGGAAGACAAAAGUUUUUGUUUUUCUUUCAAAUUGCUGAUUUGGAUGGUGGUCAUAAAGCAGGGGCUGGGUGUCCUUCGCUGUGCAGCUGGCUCUCCCCAAAACGGCAUGCUCUGGGGGACAGUUUUUAGUUUUUUGUGUGUGUGUACGUGUGUGUGUAUGUGAGUGUGCACGAUGCCCUCCUUUUUUUUUCUUUCUUUCUUUUUUUUAACAUUUCAGCAGUUUUUCGCUCCUCUUGCCAUAAGGUGUUUCUAUGACUACGUUAUGUAGGCCUGUGAGAGCGGGUCAGAGGCGGGGGUCCCUGGGAGAAAAGGGCCGCAUUUGGCUGAUCAUUUAUCAAUGUCAACCGCAUAAUGAUUCUCCCUGCAGUCCCCCUAUUGAUGAGGAUAAUUACAUUAGCUCAGAGUGACUGAUCAAUAAAGCCCAGGGAAAAUGGUUUAUUAUAGCACCACCGAAAAGGCUUUCUGGAAGAGAAGACUGGCUGUUUUUUCUUUUUUUUUUGUGUUGUUUUUAAAUAAAGGGCAGGGUUGGUCUGUGCAAACUCCACAAAGACAAUGUGUGAGAGGUUAAAACUUCAUCUGGACGCAGUUUGGAUGCUCUGACCUUAAUGUGUCCCCUUAUUUAUUAUCUCUUUUUUCUCAAUUUUCUCCCAUUUUUUCCCAGUGGUUUACUGCUUGAAUCGCUUUUUUUAUUCUUUAUUUAUUAUUUAUUUAUUUAUUUAUUUAUUUAUUUAUGGUUAGAUAUCCACAACGCACCAUUCAAGCCCGUGUGUUUCGUGUGUGUGGGGGGGAAACGGCAAUCACGGUUUAUAGUUCUGAAUCCAGCAAAGCGAGGGCGACUCAGAGCUACAUGAAAGCACACAAAUGCACAUUUUGUGCGAUUCCUCUGGCAACCUGAAAGUCAAACUGAACACAGUCGAGAGCAACGGCCUCAUAGCAAACGCGUGAUGUCACCUAGAAAUAUAAAUCUUCAUAAAGUAUUCGGUCUGCGUCUCGGUGACAGCAGCACCGGAUGCGGCGGCCGCAGGAAGUCCUCAAAUUAAAAGCAAAAAAAAAAAAAAACAAAGAAAGAAAGAAAAUAAACCGAAUAACCCACAAAGACGCGGCCAGUAAAAGCAUUUUUGACCUCUUUCUCUCUCUCGCUAUCUCUCUCCCUCCCUCCGUGUGUGUGUGUAUGUGUGUGUGUGUGUUCUUUAAUUGUCAACAACUUAUCCCCUGCAGGAAUGUUGCAAACUCUUUCGCCUUAAUUCUCCGUGGUGCUGCGCGCCAGCUCCCAUUUACCGCUGAUGAACGUGUCUGCAGGAGACAGCUCCAUUAUCUAUUUAUCAUUUAUGAUAGUAUUUUUCUUUUUUUUUCUCUCCACAGACAAUGGAGGAAGAAACGCGCCUACAGAUGGUCUGGCUAUUUACAAACGCUCGUUGUUUACUAGAUGGCCUUUAUCUGGGUUUAAAUCUUAAAAAAUAAAUAAAUGAAACUCUGGGAUAUUAUUAAAGACGUGCAAUUCUGAUACUGCUUGAAAUGUUUUUAUUAUUAUUAUUUUUUGUGCAUUCAAAAAAUACACGAGAAACAAAUUUUAAAUUUCAUUUCAGAUUAAGAAUGCAUGGGUGAUGUUCAGGGCUGUUUGCUGCUCGAAUUAAGAGGCGAUUUUCUUUUUUUUUCACACUUCAGUGGUAGUUGUCUUCUUAAAAACGAGCGACUGUCACCCCCCUCCCCCUCCUCCCCAACACGCACACGCUCAGCCCACAAAAAUAAAUCUUAAUGAUGUAAAGAAUUAUAAUUAGUCAAAUAACAUAGCUACGGGGGUUUGGAAUUAGCAGAAAGUGAAAAUUGCAGUGGCCAGUUGUGUGCGAGAGGAGGGCACGCGAGUGCGGAAUAAAUAAAGCGCAAUAAAAAGGGAAAUAGCCGGAGUUUAGUCAAGCCUUGAGGUACUCAAACCUUUAUUUCAAUCAGUUAAGAUUUAAUUAGCCAAGCCUCGGGCCGGGCCCUGUCUCUUUUUCCUCAUUACAUUGGCUUUUUCCAGCGCCCCCCUCUCUCUCCAAGGUUGUCAACAUUUGACCGGCUUUUUUUUUCUCCCCCUCGGUGAAAUAAUCGCGCUUUAUGGCUUGAGAAGCCAUAAGAUUUGCAAAUAAAUCCGACGUUAUUCCAUUAUGAGGCGGAAGUCCUCACACGUGAAUGGCGAAAAUAUCGAUUCCUUUAAUUUAUGGGUUGUUGUCACAAGUUGAUUUUUUUUUAUUAUUAUUAUUAUUCUUGUUUUCCUUCGGUUAUUUUGGAGAGCUUCAAAAAUAAAAAGAAGGUUAGAAAUAUCUUGCGGGUAGCCGAGGGCAGCAAAGUGAGACAUUUCACAAGAACUGUAAAUAACAGAAGAGGGCUGAAGGAGAAGAGGAGGAGGAGGAGGAGGAGGAGGUGGUGUAGGGAGAAGCAGCGGACACAGAACACAGUUGGUUUUCUAAAAUGUGAAAUUUUCUCCGGGUUAUUGAUUAAUGUGCACAUUUCUAAAAGCGUGAUCACAGUUGCAUUAAUUAAUAACUCUAAUACAAUGUUCAUGAAGCGAGAGAGACAGAGAGCGGGAGCUGGAGACCCCCUCCCCACCACACCCUUGGGCGCGCGGUUAUUACAUGAUGGCGACCCCUUCUGGAGGCCAGAGUAAAUGUGUUUGUGCAAGGAGGAGAAGGAGAAGAAGAAGAAGCGGGUUGUCUGAGUUUCUUGUUGUGACACCAGCUCUGGGGGAGCUUUCAUUCAUCUCAUUUCUGCUUUAAAUACCGAGAAGCGCUCACAUCCUCCGCCCUUUCAUGGCCUAUUUCUCCUCACCUCAUGAGACACCCACCAUUUUUACCCCGUUUCAGCCCCUGCGAUGAUAAGACUCCGACCUGCUGCAGCAAACCUGACCUCCAGAGACUCUCAUCUCAUAUUUACUCACAGUGUAAUGGCGCAGGGGUCUACACAGGAAAGGAACCGAAGACAAGAGACGAAGAGGAGACUGCUGUCACUAGGAUGGAGCUCCACAUUAAGGCUUCAAGGAGAGACAGAGGUGGCCCACUGCGUUGGCCAGACUGCUUUAAUAAUCUAUCAUAUUAUUUAAAGAAUAGCAGACUGAUAGAGAAAAUCAUAAACCAUCUUCUUCUGAUUAUGCAUAAUAAUAUUAGGUACUAUACAUAUAUAAUUCGUUUGUAUUCGAUGAAUAUCAAAAUAAAAAGAAUUAUUUUUUUUUAAAUUAAUUAUUUCAAUUAAUGAUUGUAACUAUUGUCGUUUGGAGAUUAAAUUAAACGUCUUUCUAUUUUAUUAAAAAUAUCUUACGGAAAAUACAGUAAAACUAAAAAAAAAAAAAAAAAAAAAAAAAA